GACGGAGGGGGCAAGCGUUGUCCGGACUCACUGGGCGUAAAGGGCGCGUAGGCGGUGGGUUGCGUCGGUGCUGAAAGCGCCCCGCUUAACGGGGCGAGGCGUGCCGAUACGAACCCACUCGAGGACGGGAGACGCUGGCGGAAUUCCGGGUGUAGUGGUGAAAUGCGUAGAGAUCCGGAGGAACGCCUGUGGCGCAAGCGGCCAGCGAACUCGUAUCUGACGCUGAGGCGCGAAAGCGUGGGGAG
rnacentral:rRNA from 1 species